GUAGUCUCGCACAGAUGCAUAUCAAUAAGCGGAGGAAAAGAAACUAACAAGGAUUCCCCUAGUAACGGCGAGUGAAGCGGGAAGAGCUCAAAUUUGAAAUCUUAAAGGGUUUCCCUUUACGAAUUGUAGUUUAAAGAAGUGUUUUCUGUUGAGGUUUUGGUAAAAGUUCUUUGGAAUAGGACAUCAUAGAGGGUGAGAAUCCCGUAUUUGACCUUUACUUUCAACUUUGUGAUACACUUUCAAAGAGUCGGAUUGUUUGGGAAUGCAGUCCAAAAUGGGUGGUAAAUUUCAUCUAAAGCUAAAUAUUGGCGAGAGACCGAUAGCGAACAAGUACCGUGAGGGAAAGAUGAAAAGAACUUUGAAAAGAGAGUUAAACAGUACGUGAAAUUGUCAAAAGGGAAGCGUUUGACACCAGUGUUGUUUUUCUGAAAAUCAAUUAAAGAACUGUUUAUGCUAAGCUGUUUAGACUUUAUCAGCUAACUGUUUAGUUUUGAGCUUUUCUUUAAUGCACUUUUCAGUUAACAAGUCAACAUCAAUUUCUUUUGCUGUAAAAAAGCUUGAGGAAGGUGGCUUGAGAUUCGUCUUAAGUGUUUAUAGCCUCUUGCCUAUGCAGUCGGAGAGAUUGAGGUCUGCAGCGUAGAUCCUUCGGGGCUAAGUGCAUUUGUGCUAAGUUAUAGCAUUUUAUAGACAACUUGUUGACUAUGAUUUGUCUUGUAGCUUACUCGCUUAUGUUAUUUUACCUACGCUUAGGAUGUUGAAGACUCUACAGAGAUA
rnacentral:rRNA from 1 species